UCUCCGUUGGUGGACCAGCGGAGGGAUCAUUACCGAGUUUACAACUCCCAAACCCAAUGUGAACCAUACCAAGCUGUUGCCUCGGCGGGGUCACGCCCCGGGUGCGUCGCAGCCCCGGAACCAGGCGCCCGCCGGAGGGACCAACCAAACUCUUUCUGUAGUCCCCUCGCGGACGUUAUUUCUUACAGCUCUGAGCAAAAAUUCAAGAUGAAUCAAAACUUUCAACAACGGAUCUCUUGGUUCUG
rnacentral:misc_RNA from 1 species